UCCAGACUCCUACGGGAGGCAGCAGUGGGGGAUAUUGCACAAUGGGGGAAACCCUGAUGCAGCGACGCCGCGUGUAGGAAGACGGUCCUCUGGAUUGUAAACUACUGUCCCCAGGGACGAAGAUGACGGUACCUGGGGAGGAAGCUCCGGCUAACUACGUGCCAGCAGCCGCGGUAAUACGUAGGGAGCGAGCGUUGUCCGGAAUUACUGGGUGUAAAGGGAGCGUAGGCGGGGAUGCAAGUUGGGUGUUAAAUCUACCGGCUCAACUGGUAGUCGCACUCAAAACUGCAGCUCUUGAGUACUGGAGAGGCAGACGGAAUUCCUAGUGUAGCGGUGAAAUGCGUAGAUAUUAGGAGGAACACCAGUGGCGAAGGCGGUCUGCUGGACAGCAACUGACGCUGAGGCGCGAAAGCGUGGGGAGCAAACAGGAUUAGAUACCCGGGUAUC
rnacentral:rRNA from 1 species